AAAGGAGCACAGAAGAUCCGUACGAAUAUCCAGCAAACAUCUACAGGUGCAGGGUCACAAUGUCAAGAGAAAAGAGGAAUGGGUAGACCAAAUGAGUUACCAGCAUCUUCAUCAAUGUCUUCAUUUCCUGCACUUGUUAUCAUUCACACUGUGUCACAUUUCCUUUGUGUUAUUAUGUCUCUAUUUAAUACAAAUAGAUAAUUAUUCUCCUCUUUGACUGUAUAUUUUCGGCUUCAGUUGCAAUUCUUUUGACUUUUUGUGCUAGAAAGUUGGCUGGCAGUUUUCGGUUGUUAGCAGUUUCUUACUGGUAAAAAUGAAUGAUUGACAAUUAUUUGCAAUUUUGCAACAUGCAGUCCACAUUAUUUACCAUAAUAAAGUACUGAUUAUCUAGCCUGGUUCCUGAUCUGUCUUUACUGUCUUUCCAGCUCCUAUGGUCAUUGUCAUGCCAAAACUAACAGAUCUGGAAGAAGGCUACUGAAUCUGCUAACGGCUGACUGUAGCCUCCGCAGACAAUGCAGCAACAGCUUCAAGCUUUGAGCAGAGGCGGGAGGAAGGGGUGUUGAACUAAGAGAAAGGUCCACAGAGGUCAAAAACUCAGGCUAUCCACUCUAGCACUCUCUCCAGGAUUCUGCGAUCGCAUCAUUUAAGGCAAAACCAAGCAAUUCACACAUUAUAACCAAUCAGCACACUUUUAUCGCAUAAAAAUGUCCAAUCAAAAGAGGGUUCGCAAUUUCUACCACUGUUACAGCAGAAAACAGUCCACUCAAACCAGUUUUUCCCCCUGUCAUUGUGUGAAGCUGAGGGUUGAUGACUGACAGAUUACGACUGACAGGCAGAACAAAAAUCACAAAUAAAGACCGUGCAAAAUGAUUUACAAAUGUUUUACAUGAAAGUCGGGACAAAUUGUUUUGCACUCUGUGCAACGUUGUGUUAGAACACAAGAGAAUGUCUCUUCGAAUCAGCAAAGCAAGUGAAAAGAAUGUCCGAACAGCCACCACUGCAGCAGAUCCCUGUGAACAAAGUGAUAGCAGGGAAAUCUGUGGUAGUGAUGUAUAGUUCGCAAACAAUUAAUUAUUUUUUAACUCUUGUAGCCAUUUCCUUCAGUCAAAUGACCAAAUCACCAUCUAGUGGUCUCAUGGGUGAAAUGUCAUAAAUAUUUUUCAUAAUUUCAUAAUUAAUAAUAAUUAUUUCAAAAAACAAGUAAAAAAUCUGGUGUUUCUAUGUCAAACGUUUUUGUUAGAUUUCAGUCUUCUGUGAUGUAAUAUUGGGAUGCAAACACAACAUUGAAUACAUUUCAACUUAUAUCUGAUAUGGUACAGGUGUCUUUUUUUAAAAGUCCAUUACCAUGUGUGUGAGGUAUAUACUUCUGUUUCAAAGUAGAUUUAUUUAAGAAACACCAAGAAACACUGUGUGACCCUGAUUCAGCCCACUGCAGUGAAAGGGUAACUGACUCAAGAGACAUUAUUUUUGUUUUGAGCUUCUGGCCGCAAUGAAUGACUGAAUCGCAAUGAAGGACUGAAUCGCAAUGAAGGACUGAUACACGCUCCUCCGGCUCAGCACAGCGGCUCCAGAGACCAGCUCAGAUCAACAACUGUCUUUCAUAUGGACGUGCAAGAAAACAGAUCUGUCACGUUCUGACCUUUAUUUCCUGUGUUUUGUAUUUAGUUAGUAUGGUCAGGGCGUGAGUUGGGUGGGCAGUCUAUGUUUGUUUUUCUAGGUUUUGGGAAUUUCUAUGUUUCGGCCUAGUAUGGUUCUCAAUCAGAGGCAGGUGUCAUUAGUUGUCUCUGAUUGAGAAUCAUACUUAGGUAGCCUGGGUUUCACUGUGUGUUUGUGGGUGAUUGUUCCUGUCUCUGUCUUUGCACCAGAUAGGACUGUUUUGAGUUUUCACAUUUCUUGUUUUUUUGUAGUCAGUUGUUCAUGUGUACCUUAACGUAUUAAAAAGAACCAUGGACAAUUA